rnacentral:rRNA from 1 species
UACGUAGGGGGCAAGCGUUGUCCGGAUUUAUUGGGCGUAAAGAGCGUGUAGGCGGCUUUGCAGGUCCGCUGUGAAAACUCGAGGCUCAACCUCGAGCUGUCGGUGGAAACCGUAAAGCUAGAGUCCGGAAGAGGAGAGUGGAAUUCCCGGUGUAGCGGUGAAAUGCGCAGAUAUCGGGAAGAACACCCGUGGCGAAGGCGGCUCUCUGGGACGGUACUGACGCUGAGACGCGAAAGCGUGGGGAGCGAACAGG